rnacentral:rRNA from 1 species
AUUGAACGCUGGCGGCAUGCCUUACACAUGCAAGUCGAACGGCAGCACGGGAGCAAUCCUGGUGGCGAGUGGCGAACGGGUGAGUAAUACAUCGGAACGUGCCCAGUAGUGGGGGAUAACCCGGCGAAAGCCGGACUAAUACCGCAUACGACCUACGGUGAAAGCAGGGAUCGCAAGACCUUGCGCUAUCGGAGCGGCCGAUGUCAGAUUAGCUUGNGGCGGGGUAAAAGCCCACCAAGGCGACGAUCUGUAGCUGGUCUGAGAGGACGACCAGCCACACUGGGACUGAGACACGG